GGGGAAUUAGGGUUNUAUUCCGGAGAGGGAGCCUGAGAAACGGCUACCACAUNUAAGGAAGGCAGCAGGCGCGCAAAUUCCCCAAUCAUAAUACAGGGAGGUAGCGACAAGAAAUAACAAUACAGGAUUUUUUUUUUUUGUAAGUGGAAUGAGUUAAGUAUACCCCCCUUUACAAGUAUCAAUUGGAGGGCAANUGUGGCNCCAGCAGCCGCGAUAAUUCCAGCUCCAAUAGCGUAUAAAAAAGUUGCAGCAGAAAAAAAGNUAGUAGGUGGAUUUUUGUUAAUAAUUUAUAAAAAAUAUUUUGAUGAAUAUUUAUAUAAUAUUAACAUAAUUCAUAUUAUUUUUUUUUUUAGUAUAUGAAAUUUUACUUUGAGAAAAUUAGAGUGCUUAAAGCAGGCAUAUGCCUUGAAUACUCCAGCAUGGAAUAAUAUUAAAGAUUUUUAUCUUUUUUAUUGGUUCUAAGAUAAGAAUAAUGAUAAUAG
rnacentral:rRNA from 1 species